rnacentral:rRNA from 1 species
GAGCCGGAGGGAAACCGAGUCUUAAUUGGGCGUUAAGUUGCAGGGUAUAGACCCGAAACCCGGUGAUCUAGCCAUGGGCAGGUUGAAGGUUGGGUAACACUAACUGGAGGACCGAACCGACUAAUGUUGAAAAAUUAGCGGAUGACCUGUGGCUGGGGGUGAAAGGCCAAUCAAACCGGGAGAUAGCUGGUUCUCCCCGAAAGCUAUUUAGGUAGCGCCUCGUGAAUUCAUCUCCGGGGGUAGAGCACUGUUUCGGCUAGGGGGCCAUCCCGGCUUACCAACCCGAUGCAAACUGCGAAUACCGGAGAAUGUUAUCACGGGAGACACACGGCGGGUGCUAACGUCCGUCGUGAAGAGGGAAACAACCCAGACCGCCAGCUAAGGUCCCAAAGUCAUGGUUAAGUGGGAAACGAUGUGGGAAGGCCCAGACAGCCAGGAUGUUGGCUUAGAAGCAGCCAUCAUUUAAAGAAAGCGUAAUAGCUCACUGGUCGAGUCGGCCUGCGCGGAAGAUGUAACGGGGCUAAACCAUGCACCGAAGCUGCGGCAGCGAACGUAUCACUUAAAGCGAUUCAGCGGGUUACGAUUGACGGAGCGAAGCGACGUCAAAGCGUAUACAAAGUCGAGUCGGUUUAAGGAUACGUUCGUUGGGUAGGGGAGCGUUCUGUAAGCCUGCGAAGGUGGCCUGUGAGGGUUGCUGGAGGUAUCAGAAGUGCGAAUGCUGACAUAAGUAACGAUAAAGCGGGUGAAAAGCCCGCUCGCCGGAAGACCAAGGGUUCCUGUCCAACGUUAAUCGGGGCAGGGUGAGUCGACCCCUAAGGCGAGGCCGAAAGGCGUAGUCGAUGGGAAACGGGUUAAUAUUCCCGUACUUGGUGUUACUGCGAAGGGGGGACGGAGAAGGCUAUGUUGGCCGGGCGACGGUUGUCCCGGUUUAAGCGUGUAGGUGUGUGUUCCAGGUAAAUCCGGUUCACUUUAACACUGAGGCGUGACGACGAGGCACUACGGUGCUGAAGCAACAAAUGCCCUGCUUCCAGGAAAAGCCUCUAAGCAUCAGGUAACAUCAAAUCGUACCCCAAACCGACACAGGUGGUCAGGUAGAGAAUACCAAGGCGCUUGAGAGAACUCGGGUGAAGGAACUAGGCAAAAUGGUGCCGUAACUUCGGGAGAAGGCACGCUGACACGUAGGUGAAGUGAUUUACUCACGGAGCUGAAGUCAGUCGAAGAUACCAGCUGGCUGCAACUGUUUAUUAAAAACACAGCACUGUGCAAACACGAAAGUGGACGUAUACGGUGUGACGCCUGCCCGGUGCCGGAAGGUUAAUUGAUGGGGUCAGCGCAAGCGAAGCUCCUGAUCGAAGCCCCGGUAAACGGCGGCCGUAACUAUAACGGUCCUAAGGUAGCGAAAUUCCUUGUCGGGUAAGUUCCGACCUGCACGAAUGGCGUAAUGAUGGCCAGGCUGUCUCCACCCGAGACUCAGUGAAAUUGAACUCGCUGUGAAGAUGCAGUGUACCCGCGGCAAGACGGAAAGACCCCGUGAACCUUUACUAUAGCUUGACACUGAACAUUGAGCCUUGAUGUGUAGGAUAGGUGGGAGGCUUUGAAGUGUGGACGCCAGUCUGCAUGGAGCCGACCUUGAAAUACCACCCUUUAAUGUUUGAUGUUCUAACGUGGACCCGUGAUCCGGGUUGCGGACAGUGUCUGGUGGGUAGUUUGACUGGGGCGGUCUCCUCCUAAAGAGUAACGGAGGAGCACGAAGGUUGGCUAAUCCUGGUCGGACAUCAGGAGGUUAGUGCAAUGGCAUAAGCCAGCUUGACUGCGAGCGUGACGGCGCGAGCAGGUGCGAAAGCAGGUCAUAGUGAUCCGGUGGUUCUGAAUGGAAGGGCCAUCGCUCAACGGAUAAAAGGUACUCCGGGGAUAACAGGCUGAUACCGCCCAAGAGUUCAUAUCGACGGCGGUGUUUGGCACCUCGAUGUCGGCUCAUCACAUCCUGGGGCUGAAGUAGGUCCCAAGGGUAUGGCUGUUCGCCAUUUAAAGUGGUACGCGAGCUGGGUUUAGAACGUCGUGAGACAGUUCGGUCCCUAUCUGCCGUGGGCGCUGGAGAACUGAGGGGGGCUGCUCCUAGUACGAGAGGACCGGAGUGGACGCAUCACUGGUGUUCGGGUUGUCAUGCCAAUGGCACUGCCCGGUAGCUAAAUGCGGAAGAGAUAAGUGCUGAAAGCAUCUAAGCACGAAACUUGCCCCGA